rnacentral:rRNA from 1 species
GAUGAACGCUGGCGGCGUGCCUAAUACAUGCAAGUCGAGCGAACGGACGAGAAGCUUGCUUCUCUGAUGUUAGCGGCGGACGGGUGAGUAACACGUGGAUAACCUACCUAUAAGACUGGGAUAACUUCGGGAAACCGGAGCUAAUACCGGAUAAUAUUUUGAACCGCAUGGUUCAAAAGUGAAAGACGGUCUUGCUGUCACUUAUAGAUGGAUCCGCGCUGCAUUAGCUAGUUGGUAAGGUAACGGCUUACCAAGGCAACGAUGCAUAGCCGACCUGAGAGGGUGAUCGGCCACACUGGAACUGAGACACGGUCCAGACUCCUACGGGAGGCAGCAGUAGGGAAUCUUCCGCAAUGGGCGAAAGCCUGACGGAGCAACGCCGCGUGAGUGAUGAAGGUCUUCGGAUCGUAAAACUCUGUUAUUAGGGAAGAACAUAUGUGUAAGUAACUGUGCACAUCUUGACGGUACCUAAUCAGAAAGCCACGGCUAACUACGUGCCAGCAGCCGCGGUAAUACGUAGGUGGCAAGCGUUAUCCGGAAUUAUUGGGCGUAAAGCGCGCGUAGGCGGUUUUUUAGUCUGAUGUGAAAGCCCACGGCUCAACCGUGGAGGGUCAUUGGAAACUGGAAAACUUGAGUGCAGAAGAGGAAAGUGGAAUUCCAUGUGUAGCGGUGAAAUGCGCAGAGAUAUGGAGGAACACCAGUGGCGAAGGCGACUUUCUGGUCUGUAACUGACGCUGAUGUGCGAAAGCGUGGGGAUCAAACAGGAUUAGAUACCCUGGUAGUCCACGCCGUAAACGAUGAGUGCUAAGUGUUAGGGGGUUUCCGCCCCUUAGUGCUGCAGCUAACGCAUUAAGCACUCCACCUGGGGAGUACGACCGCAAGGUUGAAACUCAAAGGAAUUGACGGGGACCCGCACAAGCGGUGGAGCAUGUGGUUUAAUUCGAAGCAACGCGAAGAACCUUACCAAAUCUUGACAUCCUUUGACAACUCUAGAGAUAGAGCCUUCCCCUUCGGGGGACAAAGUGACAGGUGGUGCAUGGUUGUCGUCAGCUCGUGUCGUGAGAUGUUGGGUUAAGUCCCGCAACGAGCGCAACCCUUAAGCUUAGUUGCCAUCAUUAAGUUGGGCACUCUAAGUUGACUGCCGGUGACAAACCGGAGGAAGGUGGGGAUGACGUCAAAUCAUCAUGCCCCUUAUGAUUUGGGCUACACACGUGCUACAAUGGACAAUACAAAGGGCAGCGAAACCGCGAGGUCAAGCAAAUCCCAUAAAGUUGUUCUCAGUUCGGAUUGUAGUCUGCAACUCGACUACAUGAAGCUGGAAUCGCUAGUAAUCGUAGAUCAGCAUGCUACGGUGAAUACGUUCCCGGGUCU